GAUGAACGCUGGCGGCGUGCCUGAUACAUGCAAGUCGAGCGAACAGACGAGGAGCUUGCUCCUCUGACGUUAGCGGCGGACGGGUGAGUAACACGUGGAUAACCUACCUAUAAGACUGGGAUAACUUCGGGAAACCGGAGCUAAUACCGGAUAAUAUAUUGAACCGCAUGGUUCAAUAGUGAAAGACGGUUUUGCUGUCACUUAUAGAUGGAUCCGCGCCGCAUUAGCUAGUUGGUAAGGUAACGGCUUACCAAGGCAACGAUGCGUAGCCGUCCUGAGAGGGUGAUCGGCCACACUGGAACUGAGACACGGUCCAGACUCCUACGGGAGGCAGCAGUAGGGAAUCUUCCGCAAUGGGCGAAAGCCUGACGGAGCAACGCCGCGUGAGUGAUGAAGGUCUUCGGAUCGUAAAACUCUGUUAUUAGGGAAGAACAAAUGUGUAAGUAACUAUGCACGUCUUGACGGUACCUAAUCAGAAAGCCACGGCUAACUACGUG
rnacentral:rRNA from 1 species